CCUACGGGGGGCAGCAGUGGGGAAUAUUGCGCAAUGGGCGAAAGCCUGACGCAGCGACGCCGCGUGAGGGAUGAAGAUCUUCGGAUCGUAAACCUCUGUCAGCAGGGAAGAACGGUCAUUGUGCUAAUCAGCAGUGAAUUGACGGUACCUGCAAAGGAAGCACCGGCUAACUCCGUGCCAGCAGCCGCGGUAAUACGGAGGGUGCGAGCGUUAAUCGGAAUUACUGGGCGUAAAGCGAUCGUAGGCGGUAUGUCAAGUCAAGGGUGAAAUCCCCGGGCUCAACGUGGGAACUGCCUUUGAAACUGGCAGACUGGAGUGUGUGAGAGGAUGGUGGAAUUCCAGGUGUAGGGGUGAAAUCCGUAGAUAUCUGGAGGAACAUCAGUGGCGAAGGCGACUAUCUGGCACAUAACUGACGCUGAGGAGCGAAAGCGUGGGUAGCAAACAGGAUUAGAUACCCUAGUAGUC
rnacentral:rRNA from 1 species